GAUGAAGAACGUAGCGAAAUGCGAUAGUAAUGUGAAUUGCAGAAUUCAGUGAAUCAUCGAAUCUUUGAACGCACAUUGCGCCCCUUGGUAUUCCGAGGGGCAUGCCUGUUCGAGCGUCAUUAUAACCCCUCAAGCUCAGCUUGGUGUUGGGGCCUGCUGCACUGGCAGCCCUUAAAAUCAGUGGCGGCGCCGUCUGGCUCUAAGCGUAGUAAUUCUUCUCGCUAUGGAGUCCUGGUGGAUGCUUGCCAUCAACCCCCAAUUUUUCUAUGGUUGACCUCGGAUCAGGUAGGGAUACCCGCUGAACUUAAGCAUAUCAAUAAGCGGAGGA
rnacentral:misc_RNA from 1 species